GUUGUAUAGUCAAGUAAUUAAGUGCAUGUGGUGGAUGCCUUGGCAGUCAGAGGCGAUGAAAGACGUGAUAGCCUGCGAAAAGCUCCGGGGAGGCGGCAAAUAUCCUUUGAUCCGGAGAUGUCUGAAUGGGGGAACCCACCUACUUUAAGGUAGGUAUUGCAACAUGAAUACAUAGUGUUGCAAGGCGAACGAGGGGAAGUGAAACAUCUCAGUACCCUUAGGAAAAGAAAUCAAUUGAGAUUCCCUCAGUAGCGGCGAGCGAACGGGGAUCAGCCCAUUAAGUUAUGUGUGUUUUAGUGGAACGCUCUGGGAAGUGCGAACGUAGAGGGUGAUAUUCCCGUACACGAAAGGGCACACAUAAUGAUGACGAGUAGGGCGAGGCACGUGAAACCUUGUCUGAAUAUGGGGGGACCAUCCUCCAAGGCUAAAUACUCCUGACUGACCGAUAGUGAACCAGUACCGUGAGGGAAAGGCGAAAAGAACCCCUGUGAGGGGAGUGAAAUAGAUCCUGAAACCGCAUGCAUACAAGCAGUGGGAGCACCUUCGUGGUGUGACUGCGUACCUUUUGUAUAAUGGGUCAGCGACUUAUAUUCAGUAGCGAGGUUAACCGUAUAGGGGAGCCGUAGAGAAAUCGAGUCUUAAUAGGGCGUUUAGUUGCUGGGUAUAGACCCGAAACCAGGCGAUCUAUCCAUGAGCAGGUUGAAGGUUGGGUAACACUAACUGGAGGACCGAACCCACUGUCGUUGAAAAGCCAGGGGAUGACUUGUGGAUAGGGGUGAAAGGCUAAUCAAGCCUGGUGAUAGCUGGUUCUCCCCGAAAGCUAUUUAGGUAGCGCCUCGGACGAAUACCAUAGGGGGUAGAGCACUGUUUCGGCUAGGGGGUCAUCCCGACUUACCAAACCGAUGCAAACUCCGAAUACCUAUGAGUACUAUCCGGGAGACAGACUGCGGGUGCUAACGUCCGUAGUCAAGAGGAAAACAAUCCAGACCGCCAGCUAAGGCCCCAAAAUCAUAGUUAAGUGGGAAACGAUGUGGGAAGGCAUAGACAGCUAGGAGGUUGGCUUAGAAGCAGCCACCCUUUAAAGAAAGCGUAAUAGCUCACUAGUCGAGUCGGCCUGCGCGGAAGAUGUAACGGGGCUAAAACUAUGUGCCGAAGCUGCGGAUGUAUACUUUGUAUACGUGGUAGGGGAGCGUUCUGUAAGCCGAUGAAGGUGUGUUGAGAAGCAUGCUGGAGGUAUCAGAAGUGCGAAUGCU
rnacentral:rRNA from 1 species